rnacentral:lncRNA from 1 species
CCCGGACCAGCCGAGCCCUGACUAAGGCGCAAGAGAACGGGCGGGCGGAGUGGCUGCAGGUGGACUUCGGGAAGCUGAUGAAAGUCACGGGAGUGACAACCCAGGGAGUGAAGUCCAUCCUCACCAGCAUGUUCGUGAGAGAGUUCUUGCUCUCCAGCAGCCGAGAUGGCAAGCGCUGGACCUUCUUUCAUCAGAACCACCAGUCAAAAACCGCCAACCGGAGCAGCCUAUGCCAGGCUCAGGAGGGC